rnacentral:SRP_RNA from 14 species
GCAGGGAUGCUCGGCUUCCACUUGAGGCCAGGGCGAGGUUGCGACAGGCUCCGCUCAGCCCGCUGCAGGCUCGGGGCAUGGACGCCGCUGUCAAGGCUCGAAGGCCGGGGUGGGCCAGCGCCAAAGCCGGCGGGCAGGGCGCG